AAGAAAUUUAAUAAUUUUGAAAAUGGAUUUUUUUGUUUUGGCAAGAGCAUGAGAGCUUUUACUGGGCAAGAAGACAAGAGAUGGAGAGUCCAGCCGGGCCUGCGCUUAAGUGCGCGGUCUUGCUAGGCUUGUAAGUUUCUUUCUUGCUAUUCCAAACGGUGAGAGAUUUCUGUGCUUUUGUUAUAGGACAAUUAAAACCGUUUCAAUACAACACACUGUGGAGUUUUCAUAUCUUUGCAACUUUUUCUUUGGGCAUUCGAGCAAUCGGGGCCCAGAGGUAACAAACACAAACAAUUUUAUCUAUUCAUUAAAUUUUUGUCAAAAACAAGAAUUUUCGUAACUGGAAAUUUUAAAAUAUUAAAAACUUUCAACAACGGAUCUCUUGGUUCUCGCAUCGAUGAAGAACGCAGCGAAAUGCGAUACGUAAUGUGAAUUGCAGAAUUCCGUGAAUCAUCGAAUCUUUGAACGCACAUUGCGCCCCUUGGUAUUCCAGGGGGCAUGCCUGUUUGAGCGUCAUUUCCUUCUCAAACAUUCUGUUUGGUAGUGAGUGAUACUCUUUGGAGUUAACUUGAAAUUGCUGGCCUUUUCAUUGGAUGUUUUUUUUCCAAAGAGAGGUUUCUCUGCGUGCUUGAGGUAUAAUGCAAGUACGGUCGUUUUAGGUUUUACCAACUGCGGCUAAUCUUUUUUAUACUGAGCGUAUUGGAACGUUAUCGAUAAGAAGAGAGCGUCUAGGCGAACAAUGUUCUUAAAGUUGACCUCAAAUCAGGUAGG
rnacentral:rRNA from 1 species